UAGUUGCACGAGUUCAGACUCGUAGCAUAUAGCUCAGUAACACGUGGCCAAACUACCCUACAGACCGCGAUAACCUCGGGAAACUGAGGCCAAUAGCGGAUAUAACUCUCAGACUGGAGUGUCGAGAGUUAGAAACGUUCCGGCGCUGUAGGAUGUGGCUGCGGCCGAUUAGGUAGAUGGUGGGGUAACGGCCCACCAUGCCGAUAAUCGGUACAGGUUGUGAGAGCAAGAGCCUGGAGACGGUAUCUGAGACAAGAUACCGGGCCCUACGGGGCGCAGCAGGCGCGAAACCUUUACACUGCACGACAGUGCGAUAGGGGGACUCCGAGUGUGAGGGCAUAUAGCCCUCGCUUUUCUGUACCGUAAGGUGGUACAGGAACAAGGACUGGGCAAGACCGGUGCCAGCCGCCGCGGUAAUACCGGCAGUCCGAGUGAUGGCCGAUAUUAUUGGGCCUAAAGCGUCCGUAGCUUGCUGUGUAAGUCCAUUGGGAAAUCGACCAGCUCAACUGGUCGGCGUCCGGUGGAAACUACACAGCUUGGGGCCGAGAGACUCAACGGGUACGUCCGGGGUAGGAGUGAAAUCCUGUAAUCCUGGACGGACCACCAAUGGGGAAACCACGUUGAGAGACCGGACCCGACAGUGAGGGACGAAAGCCAGGGUCUCGAACCGGAUUAGAUACCCGGGUAGUCCUGGCUGUAAACAAUGCUCGCUAGGUAUGUCACGCGCCAUGAGCACGUGAUGUGCCGUAGUGAAGACGAUAAGCGAGCCGCCUGGGAAGUACGUCC
rnacentral:rRNA from 1 species